rnacentral:rRNA from 1 species
AGAGUUUGAUCCUGGCUCAGGACGAACGCUGGCGGCGCGCCUUACGCAUGCAAGUCGAACGGACCUUCGGGUUAGUGGCGGACGGCUGAGUAACGCGUAGGUAACCUACCCAGUGGUGGGGAAUAACUCGCCGAAAGGCGAGCUAAUACCGCAUAAGUUCCCGGUUUGAAAAGGCCGGGAGGAAAGCAUUUAUGCGCCACUGGAGGGGCCUGCGUCCUAUCAGGUAGUUGGUGGGGUAACGGCCUACCAAGCCGAUGACGGGUAGCUGGUCUGAGAGGACGAUCAGCCAGAAGGGGACUGAGACACGGCCCCUACUCCUACGGGAGGCAGCAGCGAGGAAUCUUGGGCAAUGGGCGAAAGCCUGACCCAGCGACGCCGCGUGAGGGAUGAAGGCCUUCGGGUCGUAAACCUCUUUUGUGAGGGAAGAAGUUCUGACGGUACCUCACGAAUAAGCCACGGCUAACUACGUGCCAGCAGCCGCGGUAAUACGUAGGUGGCGAGCGUUGUCCGGAUUUACUGGGCGUAAAGGGCUUGUAGGCGGUUCGUUAAGUCCGGUGUGAAAUCUCCCGGCUCAACUGGGAGGGGUCAUCGGAUACUGGCGGACUUGAGGUAAGCAGAGGAAAACCGGAUUCCCGGUGUAGCGGUGAAAUGCGUAGAUAUCCGGAGGGAAACCAGUGGCGAAAGCCGCUUUCCUGGACU